AUUGAACGCUGGCGGCAGGCCUAACACAUGCAAGUCGAACGAGUGGCGGACGGGUGAGUAAUGUCUGGGAAACUGCCUGUUGGAGGGGGAUAACUACUGGAAACGGUAGCUAAUACCGCAUACCAUCGGAUGUGCCCAGCUGGGAUUAGCUAGUAGGUGGGGUAAAGGCUCACCUAGGCGACGAUCCGUAACUGGUCGGAGAGGAUGACCAGUAACACUGGAACGGAGACACGGUCCAGACUCCUACGGGAGGCAGCAGGGGGGAAUAUUGGACAAUGGGCGAAAGCCUGAUGCAGCCAUGCCGCGUGUGUGAAGAAGGACUUCGGAUUGUAAAGUACUUUCAGCUGGGAGGCGUUACUAACAGAAGAAGCACCGGCUAACUUCGUGCCAGCAGCCGCGGUAAUUC
rnacentral:rRNA from 1 species